rnacentral:miRNA from 1 species
GUGUUGUCGUUGAGACGCUUA